rnacentral:rRNA from 1 species
CAGGUGGUUUGUUAAGUCAGAUGUGAAAGCCCGGGGCUCAACCUCGGAAUUGUCAUUUGAAACUGGCAAACUAGAGUACUGUAGAGGGGGUAGAAUUUCAGGUGUAGCGGUGAAAUGCGUAGAGAUCUGAAGGAAUACCGGUGGCGAAGGCGGCCCCCUGGACAGAUACUGACACUCAGAUGCGAAAGCGUGGGGAGCAAACAGGAUUAGAUACCCUGGUAG